UGGUCUUAGCUUGCUAAGGCCGAUGGCGACCGGCGCACGGGUGAGUAACACGUAUCCAACCUGCCGUCUACUCUUGGACAGCCUUCUGAAAGGAAGAUUAAUACAAGAUGGCAUCAUGAGUCCGCAUGUUCACAUGAUUAAAGGUAUUCCGGUAAGCGAUGGGGAUGCGUUCCAUUAGGUUGUUGGUGAGGUAACGGCUCACCAAGCCUUCGAUGGAUAGGGGUUCUGAGAGGAAGGUCCCCACAUUGGAACUGAGACACGGUCCAAACUCC
rnacentral:rRNA from 1 species